rnacentral:rRNA from 1 species
UACGUAGGGUGCAAGCGUUGUCCGGAAUUACUGGGCGUAAAGGGCUCGUAGGCGGCCAACUAAGUCGGAUGUGAAAUCCCCAGGCUUAACCUGGGAACUGCAUCCGAUACUGGAUGGCUUGAAUCCGGGAGAGGGAUGCAGAAUUCCAGGUGUAGCGGUGAAAUGCGUAGAUAUCUGGAGGAAUACCGGUGGCGAAGGCGGCAUCCUGGACCGGCAUUGACGCUGAGGAGCGAAAGCUAGGGGAGCAAACGGGG